rnacentral:misc_RNA from 1 species
AUUUAGGCAGUGUGAAUAUUGCCAUUUUUUUUCAUCACAUUCAAAGAUUCUAAUAAAAUCAACUGCUAGCUCUACAGUAAUUGUUACAAAACAUAAUAGUUCUAUGAAUUGUAAGCAGCUCUGGCAAGAGAAAAGAAGAAAACACUUCUCAAGAAGCAAAAAAUGGCAAUAUUCACACUGCCUAAAUACAAGAGAUACAAGGCCUGGAAAUGAAACUACUAACUCAGACUCUGUUCUCUCCCGAAGAUCCUCUACCUCACUACAACGUAGAAUAUCCUAUGUAUAAGGUUACAUGCAGAUCAAAAAUGCUUUA